rnacentral:lncRNA from 1 species
GCAAUUCCCAUUUUGUGUAGACUCUUAUUUUCUCUUUUGUAUCUCUCUCUCCCAUGACUUUCCCUGCACUAAUUUGCCAAAAAAAUUGAAAUUGUUGUCGCCUUCCACGAACAUUAACCAGCGAAGAAGAAGGAAACCACACAAGUUCUCUCUACAAGGGUAAAUUCGUCGUUGUGUUGUCAAAUUUUACUUAUUUUUUCCUCUCUUCGUUAGUUGUACUUUCUGCAGAGGAAUAACUGAUACUUCCCUUUUUUUCAAUAAUUUUCUGGUUUUGAGUUUGUUGAAUUGGGUGAUCUAGGAAACAACGGGAACUAAUUGUAAUUUGGGUGUAGUUUUGUGAAGUG